rnacentral:rRNA from 1 species
UAGUGGCGGACGGGUGAGUAACGCGUGGAUAACCUGCCUUGCACAGGGGGACAACAGAGGGAAACUUCUGCUAAUACCGCAUAAGCCCACGGUACCGCAUGGUACAGUGAGAAAAGAUUUAUCGGUGCGAGAUGGAUCCGCGUACGAUUAGAUAGUUGGUGAGGUAGUGGCUCACCAAGUCAACGAUCGUUAGCCGACCUGAGAGGGUGAUCGGCCACAUUGGGACUGAGACACGGCCCAAACUCCUACGGGAGGCAGCAGUGGGGAAUAUUGGACAAUGGGGGGAACCCUGAUCCAGCGACGCCGCGUGAGUGAAGAAGUAUUUCGGUAUGUAAAGCUCUAUCAGCAGGGAAGAAAAUGACGGUACCUGACUAAGAAGCCCCGGCUAACUACGUGCCAGCAGGCGCGGUAAUACGUAGGGGGCAAGCGUUAUCCGGAUUUACUGGGUGUAAAGGGAGCGUAGACGGCAUAGCAAGUCUG